UAGGGAAUCUUCGGCAAUGGGGGGAACCCUGACCGAGCAACGCCGCGUGAGUGAAGAAGGUUUUCGGAUCGUAAAGCUCUGUUGUUAAGGAAGAACGAGUGUGAGAAUGGAAAGUUCAUACUGUGACGGUACUUAACCAGAAAGGGACGGCUAACUACGUGCCAGCAGCCGCGGUAAUACGUAGGUCCCGAGCGUUGUCCGGAAUUAUUGGGCGUAAAGCGCGCGUAGGCGGUUUUUUAAGUCUGAUGUGAAAGCCCACGGCUCAACCGUGGAGGGUCAUUGGAAACUGGAAAACUUGAGUGCAGAAGAGGAAAGUGGAAUUCCAUGUGUAGCGGUGAAAUGCGCAGAGAUAUGGAGGAACACCAGUGGCGAAGGCGACUUUCUGGUCUGUAACUGACGCUGAUGUGCGAAAGCGUGGGAAUCAAACAGG
rnacentral:rRNA from 1 species